CAGGAAUGAGGACAUGCAGUUGUUGUGAACAUGUCCCUCCCUGUAACAGAUGACAGAGCUAGCCUGACCGGUUGAGGCAUCCACUCCUCAGCUGUAGGCUACACAGCAUUCCUGCUCAUGUCUGAUGUCUGUCUGUCAGCCUCUGUUCUGGAGAAACCAACUUCAUGUAUGAGGAAAUGCAGUUGUUUUGAACUUGACGCUGCCAGCAGAAACGAUGGGUGUUGCCAAGAUUUGUCGGUCCCAUGACUUAUUAGAAUUAUGGGUAAAUAAUAUACAGUAAUUAUUAAACAAACAUGGACAAA